CCUACGGGGGGCAGCAGUGGGGAAUAUUGGACAAUGGGCGAAAGCCUGAUCCAGCCAUGCCGCGUGUGUGAAGAAGGCCUUCGGGUUGUAAAGCACUUUCAGUGGGGAAGAAAGCCUUGGGGCUAAUACCCUCGAGGAAGGACAUCACCCACAGAAGAAGCACCGGCUAACUCCGUGCCAGCAGCCGCGGUAAUACGGAGGGUGCGAGCGUUAAUCGGAAUUACUGGGCGUAAAGCGCGCGUAGGCGGUCUGAUAAGCCGGUUGUGAAAGCCCCGGGCUCAACCUGGGAACGGCAUCCGGAACUGUCAGGCUAGAGUGCAGGAGAGGAAGGUAGAAUUCCCGGUGUAGCGGUGAAAUGCGUAGAGAUCGGGAGGAAUACCAGUGGCGAAGGCGGCCUUCUGGACUGACACUGACGCUGAGGUGCGAAAGCGUGGGUAGCAAACAGGAUUAGAUACCCCAGUAGC
rnacentral:rRNA from 1 species